AACGAACGCUGGCGGUAUGCCUAAUACAUGCAAGUCGAACGAGAAAGUCUUCGGACGAGUAGAGUGGCGCACGGGUGCGUAACACGUAGGUGACCUUCCCAAUGGAAGGGGAUAACUCUUAGAAAUGAGAGCUAAUACCCUAUAAGAUCGGUGAACCUGAGAGUAACUGAUGAAAUGAGUGCCUCUAUUCAUAAGCACUCGCCGAUGGAGGGGCCUGCGGAGCAUUAGCUAGUUGGUGGGGUAAAGGCCUACCAAGGCAACGAUGCUUAGCGGAUUUGAGAGAACGAUCCGCCACACUGGGACUGAGACACGGCCCAGACUCCUACGGGAGGCAGCAGUAGGGAAUAUUGCGCAAUGGGCGAAAGCCUGACGCAGCAAUACCGCGUGAGUGAGGAAGGUCUUCGGAUUGUAAAGCUCUGUCAGAAUGGAAAAACGGCGGACGGUCUAAUAGGCCGUACGAGUGAUGGUACAUUCAAAGGAAGCACCGGCC
rnacentral:rRNA from 1 species